UAACGUUCCCGGACCUUGUACACACCGCCCGUCAAGCCAUGGGAGCCGAGUGUACCUAAAGACGAUAGCCGCAAGGAGUUGUCAAAGGUAAAAUCGGUGACUGGGGCU
rnacentral:rRNA from 1 species